CCUUGUAUUGUUGAACCUAGGAUUCUGUAGAACAUUUGCAAAAUGGAAUUCAUAUCAAUGCCUGUAUUCUCUGCUCUAAGCCUCAAUCUGUCUGACUGCUUUCACAGUUCACCAACUUAACAUUAAUGUCUUAUUAGAGCAGCUUUAAAAAAGAAGAGGUGGGGGCUUAACAAAGUGAUAGGGGCGUUUAACGCCCAAUAACAGAUUUUUGAAGACACUGUACGUGGUAUUCAUGACUUUUAGGGUUUUACAAUUUGUCAUUUUCUGCUACGAGGAAUGAGGAUUGUUCAUCCCAAGACAAAAAAAAGGAUAUUUAAGUUACAUUGAGUUAUGGUAAUAAUGUCCUCCACAGCUGUUCGACUGCUGGCCACACGACCUUGAAAUGUGAUUAGAUCAUUCUUGAGGUAAAAAAUGAAAAAUUGAAAUAAAGGAAAGAGAGAGAGAAAAAUGUUAAAAGGGGGGCAGGAUAAGGGGAAUGAAAGAGAAAGAUAGGAGACAGAGAUAUUAGAAAAGAGAUAAAUAUAAGGACGGAAACAGAGUUAGAAAGAGAGAAAGCCCAGAGCAAGGAUCAAAGCCAUUUAAAUUAAAUUGAAAGCAUACAAAAAGUAUGUUUUUAUCCAUAUAACCACUGUUUAAAUUUAACACCAGGAGCAUCAGACUGAGAACGACGACCAAUAUUAAAGAAGACUGAGGCCACUUAUUCCCUUGAUAAAACCCCAGUCAGUAGAAAAAAAAUCCCCUAAUCGCAAAGAUAUCUCUACGAGUUACCUGCUCUCCGCGUGUUUAGCCAGUUGGAUAUGGCUGUGCCUAGAAUUGGAAUCGUCCUAUUUGUCAUCAUCUUGUUGGAUGAAAUUAGAUUCUUACACAGAAACACUCCGGGGUUGUUGGUCCCCAAUUUCAAAUCUGCAUAUGGAAAUGUAAUAGCAUAUCGCAUUGUACGUGAUUGAUUUAAACGGCGGCGGGAGGAUCCAUUUGGGAAUAAAACACAUUUUAAUAACCACGUACUGCGAGUAGCUAAAUGUUUAGGGCAUUCCUAGGUAGUGAUUCUACAAUUUCCACUGUAGAGCAACAUUGGGUGGCAAUCAAACUCAGGAGUUGUUUUACCUUUAAUAGCACUUUUAUAUGAAGUGACUUAGUCGCGCAAGCCUCCAUUUUACAUUUAGGUGGCCCUUGAAAAUGAACCCUAUCUAUAGUGCAGGCAUGGCUCCAUGCUUUACUAAUGCCGCAUUUCCACUGGUGCUUUACCCCGGUACCAGGGCUCUCUGAUCCGGUGGAGACCGAUAGUCUAUUGAGAAAACCCGGCAGACACAGCAGCGCGAGUCAAUUCACACGAGGACUUUCAGUCUAAAAUACUGUUUACAUCGUUGAAGUACAUUGAUUAUGAUGAAAACCUCUGUGCGAGUUUUGAAACGACCAAGUAUUAUUUUCUUCAGAUGUUUUGAAUGCUGUAGCGAGCACACAUGUGAGAUUAUAAUGGUGGAGGGAUUCUAAAGUAAAUUCUUACGAAUUGCUAGGUAUAAUUUUUUUGAUUGCUGUAUGACAGGACGAUCCACAGUAUGACAGUAUGAUCCAGCAUUUCUGAUAGCCUUCUGUUAUAGCCCACUUUUCUGUCCCAAUUCAAUUGUGGGUCCAUUGAGAGGUUUUGCGGCCACUGUAUUUGUUUUCAAAUGUUUUCGGGUAAACCUAUCCUGACAUGGAUGUAAGGAACACAACAAAAAAGAAAAAAAAUGAGGUAUAUUAUGUAGGAUAAUAGAGGAAUUUUGGGAUGGGAUUAUGCAAUGAAUUCUGGGAGAAAAUGCUUUUUAUGAAAUACAUUUUAGGAGGCAUUCAUGAACAACAUAGAUUUUUACACAUGGUUGGUUGAAGUUAUUGUGAUGGCACUUAAAAUUGUAAUUUUAACACAUUUCACAUUUUCAACAGUCACAACUUUCAUUUUUCACAGCAUUUGCUCUUUGUACAAAAAUCUUUUUCCUUCUUUUUAUUUUUUGAGCGAGUGCAUUGUUGUUUCAGAGCAGCAGUACACAUGGGCUGUUUUGAACAUAUAUGUAUUUUUGUAAUGUGUUGAAAAAUCAAUACACGAAACAUAAAAAAAUUCAAUAAAUGUUUGCCCU
ensembl:lncRNA